CGCGGUAAUUCCAGCUCCAAUAGCGUAUACUAAAGUGUUGCAGUUAAAAAGCUCGUAGUUGGAUUUCUGGCGGGGACGGCUGGUCGGUCUCGAAAGGGGCUGUACUGUUGUUGGUUCCCGUCAUCCUUGGGGAGAGCGGCUCUUACAUUAAGUUGUCGGCGUCGGGAUCCCUAUCUUUUACUGUGAAAAAAUUAGAGUGUUCAAAGCAGGCUUAGGCCCUGAAUACAUUAGCAUGGAAUAAUAAGAUACGACCUUGGUGGUCUAUUUUGUUGGUUUGCACGCCAAGGUAAUGAUUAAUAGGGAUAGUUGGGGGUAUUCGUCUUCAAUUGUCAGAGGUGAAAUUCUUGGAUUUAUGGAAGACGAACUACUGCGAAAGCAUUUACCAAGGAUGUUUUCAUUAAUCAAGAACGAAAGUUAGGGGAUCGAAGAUGAUUAGAUACCAUCGUAGUCUUACCAUAAACUAUGCCGACUAGGGAUCGGUGGGUGCAUUUUUAGGCCUCAUCGGCACCUUAUGAGAAAUCAAAGUCUUUGGGUUCCGGGGGGAGUAUGGUCGCAAGGCUGAAACUUAAAGAAAUUGACGG
rnacentral:rRNA from 1 species